rnacentral:rRNA from 1 species
UAGGCGGCUUUUUAAGUCGGAUGUGAAAUCCCUGAGCUUAACUUAGGAAUUGCAUUCGAUACUGGGAAGCUAGAGUAUGGGAGAGGAUGGUAGAAUUCCAGGUGUAGCGGUGAAAUGCGUAGAGAUCUGGAGGAAUACCGAUGGCGAAGGCAGCCAUCUGGCCUAAUACUGACGCUGAGGUACGAAAGCAUGGGGAGCAAACAGGAUUAGAUACCCUGGUAGUCCAUGCCGUAAACGAUGUCUACUAGCCGUUGGGGCCUUUGAGGCUUUAGUGGCGCAGCUAACGCGAUAAGUAGACCGCCUGGGGAGUACGGUCGCAAGACUAAAACUCAAAUGAAUUGACGGGGGCCCGCACAAGCGGUGGAGCAUGUGGUUUAAUUCGAUGCAACGCGAAGAACCUUACCAGGUCUUGACAUAGUAAGAACUUUCCAGAGAUGGAUUGGUGCCUUCGGGAACUUACAUACAGGUGCUGCAUGGCUGUCGUCAGCUCGUGUCGUGAGAUGUUGGGUUAAGUCCCGCAACGAGCGCAACCCUUUUCCUUAUUUGCCAGCGGGUUAAGCCGGGAACUUUAAGGAUACUGCCAGUGACAAACUGGAGGAAGGCGGGGACGACGUCAAGUCAUCAUGGCCCUUACGACCAGGGCUACACACGUGCUACAAUGGUCGGUACAAAGGGUUGCUACCUAGCGAUAGGAUGCUAAUCUCAAAAAGCCGAUCGUAGUCCGGAUUGGAGUCUGCAACUCGACUCCAUGAAGUCG